CGGCGGACGGGUGAGUAAUGCCUAGGAAUCUGCCUGGUAUGGGGGACAACGUUUCGAAAGGAACGCUAAUACCGCAUACGUCCUACGGGAGAAAGCAGGGGACCUUCGGGCCUUGCGCUAUCAGAUGGGCCUAGGUCGGAUUAGCUAGUUGGUGAGGUAAUGGCUCACCAAGGCGACGAUCCGUAACUGGUCUGAGAGGAUGAUCAGUCACACUGGAACUGAGACACGGUCCAGACUCCUACGGGAGGCAGCAGCC
rnacentral:rRNA from 1 species